AACGCGAAGAACCUUACCCAGGUUUGACAUGCAGUGGACAGCUACAGAGAUGUAGAAUCCCGCAAGGGCCGCUGCACAGGUGCUGCAUGGCUGUCGUCAGCUCGUGCCGUGAGGUGUUGGGUUAAGUCCCGCAACGAGCGCAACCCUUAUCAUUAGUUGCCAACACGUUAGGGUGGGGACUCUAGUGAGACUGCCUGGGUUAACCAGGAGGAAGGUGAGGAUGACGUCAAGUCAGCAUGGCCCUUAUAUCUGGGGCUACACACGUGCUACAAUGGUCGGUACAGAAGGCAGCGAAGUCGCGAGAUGGAGCAAAUCCCCAAAGCCGACCCCAGUUCAGAUUGUAGUCUGCAACUCGACUACAUGAAGUUGGAAUUGCUAGUAAUGGCGCGUCAGCUACAGCGCCGUGAAUACGUUCCCGGGCCUUGUACACACCGAGUAUA
rnacentral:rRNA from 1 species